AUCAAUAGGAAUUUCUCAAUGCAUCCACUGUUUACAUAGCAAAUAAAAUGAUUGAAAAAAAGAGAUUCAUGAACCAAAGUAUAGUUCUGUAAUUACAGGUUCUAAGAAACCAACCUGAGAGGAAGAAGAUAUUGGGGAACGGGGAACCGAGUUGCUCCUCUGUUGCAAUCUCCCUUAGCUUGCUCAGUGCAGGCAACAGAACGGUAGCAAGAUCAGGUCUGUCCCUUUUCCGCAGCUCACAGCACGAUAUGCUUUCAAAUGUCAUCGGAAAUCAGAGGCUGGAAGAGACAUUGUUUACCUUGUAAAUGUCAUUGCCUUUUAUCCAAUGUUUAGGCCUAGAGUUCUUGUUGAUGUGAGCAAAAUAGAUACGUCUACAAGCAUAUUGGGUUACCCUAUCUCAGCUCCAAAGAUGAAGAACUUUGAAGAGUGAAGGUUCAGGGAUUGAAGCCGUGGCCUCUCGUGCACUUGAUGCUUCCUUUAGUUGGAAGGGAGUGAAGGUUCAGUGUUGAUGUCAUCAUCUCUUGCAUUAACUUUGCAGUAGCAGUAGCCCUCCUAAAAUUCUCUAGAAGGGUAUGAUGGUAGUGUGUCUGCAUUGCUUAUCUUUCUAAUGUCUAGAGUUUUGUUGUUGUUUAUAGUGUUUUUAAAAACCCCAAAAAUAAGAGACUUGCAUUGGAGGUGCUAAUUGUAGGAGUCUCUUAGUUAUGUCUCUUAAUCUCACUUUAACUACUUAAAAGUAUUAAAAAAAUAUUAAGAGACCCAAGAAGGGGCUUUAGGAUAAUCAUGCUCUUAGGGCUACCAACAACGGAGUUUCUGAAAAGUUGUGUGAGAUUAAUCUUUUUGAGUAAUCUUUGCAUCUAUCUUGGUUCGUGGUGUUUCGUUUGUGACUCUUCUCCUCAAAGGCGUUACCAGUUGUAUUGAUGCGACCCCAUUUAAGAGAUCAAAACUCUUUCCAUCCGCUGCAAGCACGAUCACUCAUUCAAUGAUUCUUCUCUCUAUUCAAGGCGGUGGAUUUCCACCUAGAAAAAGGUAAGGCCUCAUAACAUCAUCCUCACAAUGUUUAUCUCUUCUCUCUAGAUCAACUUCACUUAGGGUUUUGUCGCUAUAGACAAAAGGUUUCUCAAUUCCAGUAGACAUGAAAGACCACUCCCAAAGGAAACUGUAAACACGUUUUCCCACGAUUCAACCUGGAAAACAAACCAGGUUUUAAAAUCAGGAAGAUAUAUUUGCAAUCAUCGGAAAGAUCUAAUGAGUCUCUGAUUUUUGUUAGGGAUCAAAACUAUCAAAGUCUUUCGUCCGGCUUGAAGUUUAUAAGGAACUGAUAUCAAUCUCACUUCUGGAUUCAGACUUCCUACUUCCUUCAAUCAAGUUCCAGGUUGGAAAGCUUCAGAAUUGCGCCUCAAGUCAUGGGAUGAACCUUGGAAGCUAUGGUAUGUUGUUCUCAAAUUGAAAAACAUAAUGAUGACUCAGGGCAAUAUGCUUCAAGCAGAACUGAUGUUUCCAAACCCUGAACGCAUUUGAAAGGUGAAGAGCUCUGUAUGCUGACAGAGAGAUCGAUUGAGGAACCCAAUCUCAGAAGAUCAGCCGAGAUGAAGAAUAUGCUCUAUGACCCAUUGUGCUUCGUUUUUCAACCGAGCAGUAAACUUGAGUUAAUUCAUAUUUGGGAUUAAGAAGUAAAAGAUAGCAUUCAAGAGACUGAAGAAGGCAAUAUUUUUCUUUUAGGACUGGUCUAAUAGUUAGAAUUUGUGUCUGGCAAUAUAAUUGUUUGUUCAGUAGCAUACGCAGGUUUCUAUAAAACCAUGGUUUGUGUUUUAUUUGGAGUAUUCAUAUCCUUCUAUCUUCCUUAUGAUGAGGAAGGUAAGGUAUGGUAUUAACUUAUUUAUAUCUACGAAUCCGAUGUUGUGGGUGAUGCAUAUUAAUCUUUUUCGUUUUUAGAUUAUCAAUUUUAUGAUAUUUUUCCAAAAACAUUGACUUUGAGAUUACUUCUCUGACGGUUUAAUCAUGCACGCAAGAGACUGCCGUUUGCAACAGCUUGAACGUGUUACAUCUCUUGAUACGAAACAGUGAUUUGGUUACAUCACAAUUAAUAAGUUCUGCACCAUUUCUAAGCAGAACAUGUCUCACAAAUUGUCAUUAUAAAAAAAAUUGUCAUUAUUUUUUCUUUGCAGCGGGAUAUAAUUGAGGCGCUGCGAGUUCGGUAGAUAUAAAUUAAGUCACUUAUUCCCGUAUUAACAGUUUUUGAUAGAUUUGGCUGUCUCAGUUCUUAUUGGAUAAUAUGUGCAUUCCUUGCUACUUUAAAAAGUUUUUGAUUUUGUUUGUAUACUUACAAGUUACAAAAAGGUGUUCUACAAUGCACUUACCUAUCAGAGGUUUUAUUGUUUAUGGUUCCAUUAUAAUUUAGCUAUGCUAAUCUAUUUGCAUCUGUAUACACUUUAUACCAUGAUAUAUCCUAAUACAUUGUUUUAUUUAGUAAACGUAGAUAAAUUUUGUAGAUCAAAAAAAAAAUUUCAUAUGGUAAGCAUGACCAUUAUGGUUUAAGUCUUUGUCCGAGAAAACUUUUGUAUACAUGUAACGCAAAAGUAAUGUUUCUACCUAAUAAUAAAUUCUUUUUCUUCUCAGUUCAAUAAAAUACCAAUACACAGAGUGCAGGAGUAUUUACAUCAUCAAGGAAACCAGCAAGUCUUAGGCAGAGAGCUAGAAACAGGUGGCUCGAGUAGAGAGUGGAGACAAAUGCUCAAGGGACACCUAUGUGACUACUUCAAACAACCGCUCACUGGAUGAAUCAGGCGCACAAAGUUGUAGAGAUAGUCUAAAAUAACGACAUGAUAUUCAAAAUUCAUGCAGAUGAUUGUAUAGAGUGUUUGUUUUGAGUUACUCCUCAGCCACCAUUUCCUUAAGUUUUUUUUUCGACCUUAAGUUAUUUAAUAACGAACAAAAGAACACAUAGCUAAGAUUUAAUCAAUUUUUUUUUCAUUUUUCUCAUCACCUUAUAUAUAAUUUUCAAUAACAAAAAUAUCAGAAAUUUAAAUAUUGAAAUUUUUGAAAUUCAUAAGACAGAAAAAAAAAACUGAAAAUAGUUUUAUAAUCGUCUAGCUACUUAUAUUUUUUUAUAAUAGAUUAUUAUCAGAAUAAACAUACAAAAUCUAUAAUAAAAACAAAAAUUUAAACAAAAAACCUGGGCGUAGCCCGGACUGAUCCUAGUGAGUUAAUAAAUUUUAGAGAAAAAGGAAAAAAUAAUUAAUGAGAAGGAAAAUCUUGAAAAAUGGUUACUAAUUAUUUGCAUGCAGAGCCACAAACACACUUAUUGUGCUUGCUCUUGGGCCAGCUCUCUGUAGAUAGUGGAAAAGAAGCACAGGUUGAGAAGGUAAACAAAAAAAAAGUGGAAGUGAGGAGAGGUGAAUUGGUUUAUACUUUUUUCGUAGGAUGAACACUUUACUCGAAGAUCCAAAAAAAUCCGAACAAAGUAGCAAAAUACCAGUUCGGGUUUGACAUUUCCGCUUUGAUAAUUUUUCAUGAGGUUUUGGUUUGGAUUGAACCGGUUGAACCGGAUUUUAGUAAUUCUAGUCGGUAGUUUUUUUUUUUUUGAAAAAAGGCUUAAUUCUAGUCGGUAGUUGCGCGUGCAUAAACCGUUUCUUCGUAAAUCCUAAACAGAGAUUUGCAACAAUAAAGUAUUUUGUUCUUUGACCCAAAAAAAAAAAGGUAUUUUGUUCUCUUCCCUUUCGCUCGUCGUCGUUAUGCGCCAGGGAUGAAGAUUCACGCUCCUCCCGUCGGAUUGCCGAACAAUUUUAAGCGUUUUCAUCAUUUCUUACGGGUUUAUUAUUAUAUGCUGACUUCAUGAAUCAUGAGGUACGCGCACCACGUGUUCGACGAAAUUCAUGAGACGAGCUUUCUUGGCUCACAGCUAUGUGAUAGAAUCCACAUGAUAAAGCGAAGUUUGGAGAACCUUACAGCUAAAGCGAGAUCCAGUGGUGGAAAUGGACAACGGUUUCAGGCUUUGUUCUUUUUCACUUCCUGCAGCUGUCUCUUGAAGAAAUCUGGCAGCAUUCAGCUACCGAUGAUCUCUGAUCAAUUUGCUAUCCAGAAAGUGGUUUCUUGCUGGACGUGAAUGUAAGCCUAUUAGUUUGUGGAUUUGAGAGCCUACAAAACGUUGAUGAUCUGCCCCUAUCUGAAAAAUAGUUAACAAAAUUAAUUUACUCUACCUGAAAAAGCGAAGGGAGGUGGUUUCUGGUUGAAGAGUUGGCUUAGUUUGGUUUCAACACUUACUGUCGUAAAUCAUCACAAGAAUUUCAAGAGCUUGAGACGGAGAUCUAAACUCCAGUCAACUACUGGCGUUUUUAAUCUAGUCCUGGUGAAUGAAAUGCAAGAGAAGACAUUAAUGUUCAACUGCUGAAGCUUGUUGUCGUGGCCCCAUCUGACAUGAAAGCAAAGUUGUCUCUUGGAGAAAUCAGCCAGAAUUGUGUAAACGGCUCCAAUCAAACCAAAACCCAAGUCUCAAAGAUGAUUUGCUGUUUUAGUUAAAAGCGUUGGAGCUAGUUUUGGAAUUAUAUUGCAUCGUAUUUAGAUACCUUGUUCUUAUUCUCCUUGUGUACCAACAUCAUAUAUUGGUAUGGUUGGUUCAAAGUACUACGACCUCAUACAAUACAGCAUAUCUCCCGUGCCAUCCCCCUUGUUGGUCUGUGAGAAGGGGAGUCCCUUCACAUGGUGCGAAGCCCCUAGGAUGAAACUGCCCUCGAAAGAACCCGGUUGCGUGCAUCCUCGAUGGGAAAAUAUAUGUAAUGGGAGGUUGCAAUGCUGAUGAAUCCACCAACUGGGCUGAGGUGUUCGACCCAAAUACGCAAACUUGGGAGUCUUUACCUGACCCUGGCCCUAGGCUCCGCUCUUCUUUAAUCAAGAUAAUUUACCCGAAUGAGGGAAAAGUAUACGUUAGUAACAGCGAGAAGAAACGUUAUUUUUAUGAUCCAAAGGAAAUGAGAUGGGGCGUUGCAGCAAUGACACGCAAGGUUGAGAGAAUGUGUAUUAUAGCGGGUGUUUUGUACGCCUAUGGUGAUGAAAACUGUUUCUUGUGGUUUGACACAAAGAAUGAAGAGUGGAGAGUGGUCAAAGGAUUGGAGGUACUGUGUAGAAAUUGUUGUGCUAGUGCUCUUUCCGUAGCUAACUACGGUGGGAAAAUGUUAGUAUUGUGGGACAAGAAACAGCCUAAUAAGUGGUAUAAUACGAACAUUUGGUGCUCGGUGGUUGCACUUGAAAGACGUAAUGGUGAUGACGAUGUUUGGGGAAUUGUUGAGUGGGCUAGUGUUGUGCUUACAGUUCCCAGUGCAUACGUUUUCUUGCGUUGUCGAGUGGAGACAGAGUGAAAGAAUGCUUUUGUAUACACCAGGCCAGUAGCCCUUUUUUGUUUUUUUUUUCUAACUGCUUUUAGUUUUAAUUCUUUAAUAAAUCCGUUGUUUUAAAUAAACUACUAUGCUUAAUUAAAUUCUUGGCAAACAUCAA